AAGACUGAAGUCUUUUACAGAAUUCUUAGUUCGAUAAAGCCUCUCAGUUAGUCCAACGUUGAUUGUUUGUUCGGAGAUGGAAGCCAUUGGCGACGAUCCAAGGUACCCUCGAAAAUCCUAUACUCCAAUUCCAUAUGGUUCCUCUAACCCCCAAAAGCAAAAGACUCGUACUCGAGACACCCCAUUUACUCGCCCAAUCCCCAACUUUAACGACGACGACGAAAUGGAUGAGUUCAACGAAGAAAUUGACCACAAAAACGGGAACAUAAAUGGAUCUAGUCGUAAUUUCGAUGAGGAGGAAGAUUUCCUGAAGUAUCCGAAGAAGAGAAAGAUGAAGAAUUUGGUUUCGGCAUACGAGUUCGCUCCUUGGGUCAAACAGUCGGAAUCUGGCCGAACUACUUCUCGAGCCGACGAAGAUGAUUGGACUGAGCAUGGAAUGUUUGUGCUGUUGGAGGUUUGGGGAAACAGGUUUCUUCAGCUGGGGCGAAAGAGUUUGAGGUCGGAGGAUUGGGAAGAGGUGGCGGAGAAAGUUUCUGAGACUUCGAAGAUUGAGAGAAAGGAGAGCCAGUGCCGAAAUAUGUUGGAAUCAUUGAAGAAAAAGUACAAGAAGGAGAAGUUGAAAAUGGAGCAAAUGGGAUUGAAAUCUAGCAAAUGGGGUUUCUUUAAGAAGAUAGAUAUGUUAAUGGCUUCUUCUCCGAGGCAGGACUAUGGGCUUGCUUGUGGGGUUGAUUCGGGUGAAUUUGUGUUUAUGAAUACAAGGGUUUAUUUGGAUAGGUCAGAUGGGUUUGAUGAGAUGAAGGAUAGUCCUAUGGAGUCGGAGGCGUCUGAGGAGGAAACUGAGGAUGGGAACGGUGGGAGAGAUUGGGAUAAAGGGUCUUCCUCGUCCUCAUCGUUUAGGGUGUUAACGGAUUCAAUUCAUAAGUUUGAUGAAAUUUAUGGGAAGAUUGAGAGUAGCAAGAGGCACCAAAUGAUGGAGUUGGAGAAGAUGAGGAAAGAUUUUUCUAAAGAACUGGAGCUGCAGAAGAAGCAGAUUAUGGAGAGGACUGAAGCCGAGAUUGCAAAAAUCCGGGAAGAAGAAGAUGAUGAUGACGAUGAUGAUGAUGAUGAUGAAGAUGAUGAUGAUGAUGAUGAUGAUGAAGAAGAAGAUGAGGUUGAGGUUGAGGUGGAGGUGGAGGAGGAUACCAGCGCUUCUGCCGUGGACCUUAGCGAGUGAUACGGGUCUUAUCUAUCUACACAUGGGAACAUUUAGGUUCGUUGUGUUUCUUGACUAUGGUGUCUGUUGCUUAUGAAGCUCUGAUUGGAAACGUCGAGUUGUUUGUUUGUUAGUUUGUUUUUCUUCGUGUUAAUGCCGUACGGGGUACCAAACUUCUUAUAGCAAUGAAGCUAGCCAUCUUAGAGGAGAUUAUACUUGCAGGUGUUCGGACAUUCACUCGUGGAGUUCGAGCCUUGAAUCUGAUUGUUGAAGCUGUGCUUAUGUUUCGAGAUUUUACAUUUAUAGGAGAUUGAGCCUAGAGAAAUAUGGUGAUCUGUAUUCGGUUCAACUGCUGUGGAGAAAAAAGCAUCUGCACUGUGCUCAAGAAAAGGCUUUGCGUAGCGAAACCAUGGUACUUGCCAAAACGGUGAUAACCCUACUGUAAAAUAUGAAGUACACUCUACUGUAAUCUUAUAUCGUGUCUUAUGAUGUAUUCCUUCCCUUCACUAUAGGUUUUUUUUUUUUUUUACUUUUUAUUAUCUUCAUUAGCGUACAACUUUAAAGAGAGGGUAAGUUUAUGCUCUGUACCAUUUUCUUCAUUUUUGUUCUUUAAUGCGUUCAAUGAUUUCAUUCCUAAGA